UUACGGCCACAUCACAUUGAAAUACUGGUUCUCGUCUGAUCACGGAAGUUAAACAACGUGGAGUUUGGUCAAUACUUAGAUGGGUGACCGUUUAGGAAUACCAAGAGUUGUAAG